ACUCCUACGGGAGGCAGCAGUGGGGAAUAUUGCACAAUGGGCGCAAGCCUGAUGCAGCCAUGCCGCGUGUAUGAAGAAGGCCUUCGGGUUGUAAAGUACUUUCAGCAGUGAGGAAGGUGGGUAUGUUAAUAGCAUACUCAUUUGACGUUAGCUGCAGAAGAAGCACCGGCUAACUCCGUGCCAGCAGCCGCGGUAAUACGGAGGGUGCGAGCGUUAAUCGGAAUUACUGGGCGUAAAGCGCAUGCAGGUGGUUUGUUAAGUCAGAUGUGAAAGCCCGGGGCUCAACCUCGGAAUUGCAUUUGAAACUGGCAAACUAGAGUACUGUAGAGGGGGGUAGAAUUUCAGGUGUAGCGGUGAAAUGCGUAGAGAUCUGAAGGAUACCGGUGGCGAAGGCGGCCCCCUGGACAGAUACUGACACUCAGAUGCGAAAGCUGGGGAGCAAACAGGAUUAGAUAACCCUGGUAGGCUCUGC
rnacentral:rRNA from 1 species